rnacentral:rRNA from 2 species
UUCGGUGGUUAUAUCCGUGGUGUUCACCUCUUCCCAUUCCGAACAGAGAAGUUAAGCCCACGAGAGCCGAUGAUACUGCCUUUGGGCGGGAAAGUAGGUCGCUGCCGACU